rnacentral:rRNA from 1 species
UACAGAGACUGCAAGCGUUAUUCGGAUUCACUGGGCGUAAAGGGUGCGCAGGCGGCCGAGUGUGUGAGGUGUGAAAGCCCGGGGCUUAACCCCGGAAAUGCGCCUCAAACUACACGGCUAGAGCAUUGGAGAGGGUAGCGGAAUUCAUGGUGUAGCAGUGAAAUGCGUAGAUAUCAUGAGGAACACCAGAGGCGAAGGCGGCUACCUGGACAAUUGCUGACGCUCAGGCGCGAAAGCGUGGGGAGCAAAAGGG